GACCAACUCAGGAUCGACCGACCAGGGGCGGAUCGACAGUUCUUACAACUCUUGCUAUCUGAAGAUGAGGGUUGCAUGAGUUCUUUUUCUACCCAACUCAAGAUUCUGGAACCCUACAUGAAUGGGGAUUUUAUUUGCUUUCUUUGGAUGUUUCAGAUGUAUGUAUUUUCCUCUUGCGGAACAAUACAUGAAUUUAGGGAUUUCGGAAUCCUAUUUGUAUUUUCCGUAGUUUUAAUCGUCGAUUGAUUGAUUAUAAUCGUUCCACUUGAUUUUGAGUUUCGCCGUUUUGGUAGGUGGAUAGCUAUCGAUAUACACGAGUGCAAGGGUUCAUUUACAUAAUGUUGUUUUGAUGUGCUUACUCGUCGUCAAUGAUUCCAACCUGCAGGUUUUGCUUCCAAUUAAGUACGUACCGGCGUUAAAUUGGUCUCCUGAUGUUCUAAGGUACAGCUAUCUCGUAUAUUUUUGAUUAAUCUCGUUAAUUGCGGAUAGCUAUCGAUAUACACGACAGCAAGGGUUCAUUUACAUAAUGUUGUUUUGAUUUUUCCAAUUGCUCUACUUACUCGUCCUCCAUGAUUGAUUUUAAUCUUCCGAGAAGAUUUUCUGUUUUCCCUUUUUCUUCGUGAUGAGGUACAUAACACGUUAUAUUUUCACAAUCCCGGUAUGUUUAUAUGGACUUGGUCUGAUUUAAUUUAAAUUUACAUCCGUCUUUUAGUUCUCAAAAAAGUUAGACUAAGCUUACGUUAGGGUUAAUGUUAGACUCAAUUUCAAUCUUACUUACUUACUUACUUACAGUAUUUAUCAGCUUAGAGUCGUCACUACAUUAUCUAAAAUGCCUGCCAUAUAGAAUACACUAUUUUUUCAUUAAAUGUUAUAUCUAAAAAUUCAACUAACCAUGAAUGGUAUAUUCUUGUAGGUUUAAAUGUUAUAUUUAAAUGUUAUAG
rnacentral:lncRNA from 1 species